CGGGUCAUUAUAAAUUAUGCCUUUCGAUUAUCGCAACGCCUCGUCGCGUUUGGUUAAGCACAUGGUGGAACAGUAUGCACAUCACUGUACCUAACGUACUGUACACCUGUGAGCGGCAUGACGAGACAAAAGACGGUAAAACUCAUUAUUAAUCGGUGAUGCUGUACAUUCUGGAUGAUGCACAGCCACAUUUUAUAAUACUGUUUUUAUUUUCGUGUCGCGCCGCUCGCGUUCAAUAUAAAGUUAGACAAGACGCAAUUAAUUACUGGGAGAGUAGUGGUCUAAUGUUAAGAGUCGAACUUCACAAACCUUUCACUGCUUGCAGUAAGGCUAAAGUGCUACGUGAAUAAGAUGGGUGUAGUUUUGUGCUACUAGCUGUAAAGUGUUUUUGCACUAUUGAGUUAUAAAUACUGCCCAGUAAUACUUAACUAGAUGUAAAUCACAAUUCUUGUGUCAAUGUUUGUUUGUAAUCUUUUUCAGCUAUCCAUCUGAAAAAGAAAAGCUGGCACUCUCAAAGGAGAUUGUGUUGUUGGUUUAUGGUCUCAUUUGGUCAAAAAGAGGGACAUGUACCGAGCAUUUUUUUUUUUUUUUUUUUUUUUUUUUUUUUUUGAUGGGCCAUCACACAGUGGAUUUAUAAAAUGAGAUUACAGAACAUCAGACGGUAGCUUCAACAGAGUUGAAGUGGGAGGACAUCAUCAAUAAAGAAUGCCAUUGACCAAACCUUCAGUCAUCAAAGAAGAUGGAUACAGGGGGACAUCAAGUUUUCCAGACUUACCGAUGGGAAAGAAGAAAUGGGAAUGUGACAAUUAUUGAGAAACUCAGGGAAAAAGCAUCUUUAGAGAAGAAAAUGGACAUCAGACAUUUAUUGAAGAAAGCUGACAGUGAACAUAAUGAUGAGAGCUGUGUUAUACAAUGUUAAGGAUACUCGUUCAUCUUCUGCUGUGUGAAUUCUGCUGUGUCAGUCCUGUGGGACUUGAUGCCGGCUGGUACCAGUGUGACGUCUUUGCUUACUAAAUGAUCAAAGGGUGUCUGAAAUCAGCUCAGCCACAGUUGGUUUCCAGCGGUUCUUCAGGACAUGGAGGCCACUACGUAACUGUUGCAAUGAACGAUUAUUUUGCCUUUCCACCUGAUGUUGACAAUCUGACCUGUGCGGUGCUGAAAACAACUUGCACUGAAAUAUAUCUUAAAAUAUAUCAGUGCCCUUUGUUUUGCCUCAAAAUGCACACCAGUAAUGUUUUUUGUUGAAACCAGUUAUAUUUCCUAAUUAAACUAAGGCCUAGUCCUGGAUUAAGCUAAUCCCCUGUCCGGGAAACCGCCCCUAAAUGUUUUGUGACGGAAAUUUCUUUGAAUACACUUGUCAAGUUAAUUUGAAGUAUUUUUCUAAAUGUAAGAUAACAUGUUAAUGUUUCAGGACAAGUUAAAAAAUUUUGAUAACUGGCAUGUUGGAAACGAUUUCAGACAUUGUUCUAUUCAACAUGUUUAACACAGUUGCUUUUAAAUUCAAUGAAUUAUUUUAUAAACAGUGUGUUAAAACGUAUCAAUGUAAUGUAUGUUUGAAGUAAUUAUACUUGCACUUACAUUUAUUUAAAUUAGCAUACAUCUAGCAACAUAAAGUAGGCUACUAGCAUAUUUUCAUGCAAGCAUUAAUUGUCAAAUAUUUGUUAUUU